rnacentral:rRNA from 1 species
GUGGGGAAUCUUGCGCAAUGGGCGAAAGCCUGACGCAGCCAUGCCGCGUGAAUGAUGAAGGUCUUAGGAUUGUAAAAUUCUUUCACCGGGGACGAUAAUGACGGUACCCGGAGAAGAAGCCCCGGCUAACUUCGUGCCAGCAGCCGCGGUAAUACGAAGGGGGCUAGCGUUGCUCGGAAUUACUGGGCGUAAAGGGCGCGUAGGCGGACAGUUUAGUCAGAGGUGAAAGCCCAGGGCUCAACCUUGGAAUUGCCUUUGAUACUGGCUGUCUUGAGUACGGGAGAAGUGAGUGGAACUCCGAGUGUAGAGGUGAAAUUCGUAGAUAUUCGGAAGAACACCAGUGGCGAAGGCGACUCACUGGCCCGUUACUGACGCUGAGGCGCGAAAGCGUGGGGAGCAAACAGGAUUAGAAACCCGUGUAGUCC